rnacentral:rRNA from 1 species
CAAGAGCGUAUGUAAAAGUUGUUGCAGUUAAAAAGCUCGUAGUUGAACCUUGGGUUUGGUUGGCCGGUCCGCUUUUUUGCGAGUACUGGAUUCAACCGAGCCUUUCCUUCUGGCUAACCAGUCGUUUCGGCGGCUGGCGAACCAGGAUUUUUACUUUGAGAAAAUUAGAGUGUUCAAAGCAGGCAUUAGCUUGAAUAUAUUAGCAUGGAAUAAUAGAAUAGGACGUUAUGGUUCUAUUUUGUUGGUUUCUAGGACCAUCGUAAUGAUUAAUAGGGACGGUCGGGGGCAUCAGUAUUCGGUUGUCAGAGGUGAAAUUCUUGGAUUUACUGAAGACUAACUACUGCGAAAGCAUUUGCCAAGGACGUUUUCAUUAA